CAGGAUCUACUUCUACUUUGAAAGUUUCAACAGAACAACCUUUGAGAUCGUCAACAAGUCCUACUUCUACCUUGAAAGUUUCAACAGAACAAUUUUUGAAAUCUUCAACAUCAAUUCCUACUUCUACUUUGAAAGUUUCAACAGAACAGCCUUUGAAAUCUUCAUCAUCAAGUCCUACUUCUACCUUGAAAGUUUCAACGGGACAGCCUUUGAAAUCUUCAACAGCAAG